CGAACGCUGGCGGCGUGCCUAAUACAUGCACGUAGAACGCUGAAGGAGGAGCUUGCUUCUCUGGAUGAGUUGCGAACGGGUGAGUAACGCGUAGGUAACCUGCCUGGUAGCGGGGGAUAACUAUUGGAAACGAUAGCUAAUACCGCAUAAGAGUAGAUGUCGCAUGACAUUUGCUUAAAAGGUGCAAUUGCAUCACUACCAGAUGGACCUGCGUUGUAUUAGCUAGUUGGUGAGGUAACGGCUCACCAAGGCAACGAUACAUAGCCGACCUGAGAGGGUGAUCGGGCACACUGGGAAUGAGACACGGCCCAGAACCCUACGGGAGGCAGCAGUAGGGAAUCUUCGGCAAUGGACGGAAGUCUGACCGAGCAACGCCGCGUGAGUGAAGAAGGUUUUCGGAUCGUAAAGCUCUGUUGUAAGAGAAGAACGAGUGUGAGAGUGGAAAGUUCACACUGUGACGGUAUCUUACCAGAAAGGGACGGCUAACUACGUG
rnacentral:rRNA from 1 species